CAGCAGCCGCGGGAAUACGAAGGGGGCUAGCGUUGUUCGGAUUAACUGGGCGUAAAGGGCGCGUAGGCGGGUUUUUAAGUCAGAGGUGAAAUCCCAAGGCUCAACCUUGGAACUGCCUUUGAUACUGGAAGUCUUGAGUCCGGGAGAGGUGAGUGGAACUGCGAGUGUAGAGGUGAAAUUCGUAGAUAUUCGGAAGAACACCAGUGGCGAAGGCGGCUCACUGGACUGGUAUUGACGCUGAGGUGCGAAAGCGUGGGGAGCAAACAGGAUUAGAUACCCGUGUAGUCCCUGUCUCUUAUAC
rnacentral:rRNA from 1 species